rnacentral:rRNA from 1 species
UACAGAGGUCCCAAGCGUUGUUCGGAUUCAUUGGGCGUAAAGGGUGCGUAGGCGGCGCGGGAAGUCGGGUGUGAAAUCUCGGAGCUUAACUCCGAAACUGCAUUCGAUACUGCCGUGCUUGAGGACUGGAGAGGAGACUGGAAUUUACGGUGUAGCGGUGAAAUGCGCAGAUAUCAGGAGGAACACCGGUGGCGAAGGCGGUUCUCUGGGCAUUACCUGACGCUGAGGAGCGAAAGUGUGGGGAGCGAACAGG